GGCCUUGCGCUCUUUGAGCGGCCGAUGUCAGAUUAGCUAGUUGGUGAGGUAAAGGCUUACCAAGGCGACGAUCUGUAGCGGUCUGAGAGGAUGAUCCGCCGCACUGGAACUGAGACACGGUCCAGACUCCUACGGGAGGCAGCAGUGGGGAAUUUUGGACAAUGGGGGCAACCCUGAUCCAGCCAUGCCGCGUGAGUGAAGAAGGCCUUCGGGUUGUAAGGCUCUUUCGGCCGGGAAGAAAUCGCAUGGGCCAAUACCCUGUGUGGAUGACGGUACCGGAAUAAGAAGCACCGGCUAACUACGUGCCAGCAGCCGCGGUAAUACGUAGGGUGCGAGCGUUAAUCGGAAUUACUGGGCGUAAAGCGUGCGCAGGCGGUUUUGUAAGACAGGCGUGAAAUCCCCGGGCUUAACCUGGGAACUGCGUUUGUGACUGCAAGGCUAGAGUACGGCAGAGGGGGGUGGAAUUCCACGUGUAGCAGUGAAAUGCGUAGAGAUGUGGAGGAACACCAAUGGCGAAGGCAGCCCCCUGGGUCGAUACUGACGCUCAUGCACGAAAGCGUGGGUAGCAGACAGGAUUAGAUACCCUGGUAGUCCACGCCCUAAACUAUGUCAACUAGGUGUUGGGUGGGUAAAACCAUUUAGUACCGUAGCUAACGCGUGAAGUUGACCGCCUGGGGAGUACGGCCGCGAGGUUAAAACUCAAAGGAAUUGACGGGGACCCGCACAAGCGGUGGAUGAUGUGGAUUAAUUCGAUGCAACGCGAAAAACCUUACCUACCCUUGACAUGCCAGGAACUUGCCAGAGAUGGCUUGGUGCCCGAAAGGGAGCCUGGACACAGGUGCUGCAUGGCUGUCGUCUGCUCGUGUCGUGAGAUGCUGGGUUAAGUCCCGCAACGAGCGCAACCCUUGUCGUUAAUUGCCAUCAUUUGGUUGGGCACUUUAACGAGACUGCCGGUGACAAACCGGAGGAAGGUGGGGAUGACGUCAAGUCCUCAUGGCCCUUAUGGGUAGGGCUUCACACGUCAUACAAUGGUCGGUACAAAGGGUUGCCAAGCCGCGAGGCGGAGCCAAUCCCAGAAAGCCGAUCGUAGUCCGGAUUGCAGGCUGCAACUCGCCUGCAUGAAGUCGGAAUCGCUAGUAAUCGUGGAUCAGCAUGUCACGGUGAAUACGUUCCCGGGUCUUGUACACACCGCCCGUCACACCAUGGGAGCGGGUUCCGCCAGAAGUAGGUAGCCUAACCGCAAGGGGGGCGCUUACCACGGCGGGGUUCGUGACUGGGGUGAAGUCGUAACAAGGUA
rnacentral:rRNA from 1 species